CGCCCAGUCCCCUUGGAUUGCAAGGGUGAUCUAUUUCAAGUAUAAAGUGGCUUAGUAUAGAUGGGUUGAUGUUGUUAUACACUAACAACUUGUGUCACUUUGUUCUUCUCUCUAUAAUUGAUACAAUGCUCACUCUGUCUUCUUCUCUCUCUCUCUCUCUCUCUCUCUCUCUCUCUCUCUCUUCUCUUCUUUGUUACACAAGAAAUCUAAAACAGACUACAGUGUUUGUUUGAAGUAGAACAAAGAGAUUGAAAUUGGUUCGAUCAAAGUAUAUCUUUCCAAGGCUGGUACAGUAGGUAUUUAUACUUCGUGAGACCUUCAUGUCUUGCACGUCUAUUUAAGAGAUUGCAAACCCAAGGGAGUUGUUCUCAGAAGGAAUCGUAAAUUCAUUUUUUCCAAGACUAAUUCUUCUGUUUAUUUGCCUUGACUCGUGGGCUGAUUUAUGUUUUCCCCUAAUGAGAGAAUAUUCCCGUUGCCAAAUUCCUUGAUUAAUGCUGCGAUUGACGUCUUUAUGUGGAAGAAUUUUCAGUGGAUGAUUUCGUUCCCUUGACCUUCUUUGAUUGAGAUACUUCCUAUAAUAUACUUUUUGAUUGAUUUUGCUAUCUCCCUUGAUUGAUUUUUCCGCUCCUCUUUCCAUUUUCAUUUUGAUUCAUUUCUGCCUCCAUUCUAUUGCUCAGAAAUUUUCCUGCACAUAAGGAGUAAUUGGUUAUUUUGCAUCAUUUAAAUCAACUUAGAUCUAACACUUUUGUAUUUAUACAAGUGCAUAAGAUAAAAAUUCAUGCAAAAGCAACUCAUGCAAUUUUCUUACAAAGUUACAAGCAUGAAGGACAGUCAAGAAAAACUUUUGCUUCAUUCUUUUGAAAAACAAAUAUUUCUUUCAAACUCAGGAGAAUAGAACGCUAGAUAAAGUUAGUAAAAAUUAGCCCUUCAUAAGGAAAUGAAGAUAAUUCAUGGUGCUUUUGCAGAUUUUACUCCCGUCAGGCGAGGCAGUGGCCGAAUGCCCAACCUCAGUUUGAUCAAAUACAGAAUAUCUCUGGCAGAGGAAUAAUAAUAACAGGACCUGCUCCACACGGUUCUGGCUUUGAUUUUUAUAGGCGCUUCUUCUGCCCAAAAUUCGGAAUCAAUGAGGUAAUUACUAGCACUUGAAUCUACUGUAAGCAUGUGUAAUAUUGUGUUCAAGCAGAUCAUAGUCGCUGAAAAAUGUGGUACUGAAUUUGAGGCCACUUAUAUAG
rnacentral:lncRNA from 1 species